CUAAAGUUCUCAAUUGAAUUAGUUUAUAUUUUAAAAGUUGCACUGUCGAAACAAAUAAAUUAUAUUUAAGAUUUAAUUAAUUGCACGUUAUAAGAAUUUAUAAGAGAACGUGUUCUUUAACAAUAAACCGUUCAAUCUUUUAGUUGACUAUUUACUACUGACCACACCUUUCUAAAUAAAUAGAACAAACCGCUGCUGCGGGCGCCCCGCCUCACAGGAAUCAGGCCAAUCACUCUGAUUUCCGGUGUUGCACGUCAGGACGAUGCAGCAGCACAGCUCAUUCGCUUAAGACGGAUGAGGAAAUGACGUCAGACGCCGAAAAUGUUUGUCCCUCGAUUUAAAAGCUACAGGUAUACAGUUAUUUAUAAAUGGCGGCUCGACCUGGUCCGGAUGUAUGAUAGAGAUAGAAAAGGAAGUGACUGUUGGAUUAUCUGCUGUUGGGGUGAAUUCACUUUCGGAAAUAUUCUACGGUGGAUAUCUAAAAUAAAUCGUUUAUAUUGUAUUGAACCAAUAUGUCGGAAUUUCUGCGCACGGAGACUAGGCCGGAGUUGUACAGCGCCAAAGUACACUGAAAGACAAGAUUGUUCAUCCUGAAGCUCUUCGACACAGUAAGGAAGCAUUGUUUUUAUUAUUUGGUUCUGCGACCGCCGUGUCGCUGCUUUGCUACGCUAGGCCGCUGUGCCUCGUUGAAUGUGCGUUUUUUUGAAUGCGUUAAACUUAGCAAUACAAAUGGUUUACUGGCUGUAAAUCUGGGCGUCAAAAGACGCGCAGUAAUAGGUUCAAUGCCAUUGCGGCGCUUUCUCUUGGCUGCCACGCCUACCUGUCUCUGUCCUGUAAGUUCUAGUAUGGUCAUUAGCCUCUCAAACAUUUUUACCUUACUUUAAAGUUCAUUGGCAGUUUAUAUAACUGAAAGCUUCCACAAUUUGAUGUCCCGUUCGCCGUCGUUUACCACGAUUUUGGACGUUGCGUUUACCGUCGUUUUCCACAAUCCUGGACGUUGCGUUUAUCGUCGGUUUCCACAAUCCUGGACGUUGCGGUCAUUUCCACACAAUUCUGAUAUCCCGUCUACGGUCAUUUUCCACCAUUUUGGACGUCGUGGACAUACCUCACAAUCUUGGACGCCUUGGUUACCCUGCUGUCCUGUUGCUGGCCAGAGUGACUACCAGAAUUCCAACUUCAUGUACCAACAUGGACGUCCACGACUCUAAAAGCCAUGUGUAUUCCUUGCCGUUGUACCCUUUCUAACUGUAUUCAUGUCUAUUUGACUUUUGUAACUAUGUCCAUCUGUAUUUGACUUCUGUAACUGUUUAUUCAUUUGUAUUUGACUUUUGUAUCUGUACAGUUGUAUUUGUUUGUAUAUGUCCAGCUCUUAUUAUUGCAAGUCAUUAGUUGGUGGAUUUAAAUUAGCAUUCAGCGCAUAUAUUUUGUUUUUAAAUGUUUAACAUUUCAUGUCAAAUUCACCAAUUCUGUCGAACUGUGACACUAUUUCACUUUAAAUUGUCUUUUAAAUUCAUUGAACAUUUAGAGCUUUGUCUCCUUCUGCCAAGUCAGUUUUCUGCUAAAGAGUUGUAAGCUCUUCUGUGGUAUUUAGAUCAGUUUUUUUUUUGGGGAUCAGGUAUUUUUGAUGAGUGUUGGUGGGUGGUGUGGGCUGUAGUUAUUCCCUGCCCCACAGGUGUUGGUGCUGGAUCCAUUCACACAGGAGAUCUGACCUGGACUGUGAGGUGAAAGUGGCACUAUGUAGCAAGACCUUCUCAGCCACAAGAUGUCUUCAGGAUUCUAUGGUCUAGGAUUCUAUGGACCAAAGUUGACCAAGUACGGAGAAGAUUUAUCCUGGUUAAAGGAGUCUAAGGAUUUAAACCCAGGGAGUCCUCACUGUCAUUGGAGAAGAUUUCAGCUCCUGCAGAUGCAGCCUUUAAGCUUGGAUGACACAUCUCAGGGCUAUGGUGUUUCGGUGGCGCCUGUUCACACAGCACACCAAAGUUCAAACCCGAUCUGGACUGGCCCCUUAGAUGUGCCAAAGUCGGAUAAAUAAGAUGUUGACUGGACCUGGUUGAGUACGACACAUGAACUAGACAACUAUGGCCAACAUAUUCCAGAGCUGCCUCCUUCCUACUAGAUGUCUUAAGGUUGGUAGUAAAUAUAAUCCCUGAAAUGUGUUCAGGUAAUCGACCCCCAAGGACACAGGCUCAUCACAGCUGACAGACAUUUCUGUUUGUGAUCCCUGCUCAGCUAUAUGUUGUUUUUUUGUUUUUGUUUUUCUGAUAAGUUUGACUGUUGUACAAAUUUGCAUGACAUUUCAUGGAUAUUCUAAGAAUGUGGUCUUUGGUCACUGAUGAACUAAACUAGAUGCUUGAUCCCAGGUUUAUUUUUGCUUUAGUUUUUUUUUAGAUUUUCAGUCUAAGUUUAAUGAGCUGGAUUUCCUUCACACUUCACUUAACUACUCACCUUACUCUUUCUCACCCCUUCUUCUUCUUGGGUACUUCAAGAAAUCCAGUCAUUAAUUCUUACUGAGUGUUGUACCAUGGAUGAAGUUUCCAAAAUCAGAGCUUGGAUCCCUCUGAGUUUGUGACCUGGUCCAUCCAUGGUUCAACAUUAUCCGCCUACCAACCAGUAAUUUAGAACAGAAUGAUUGAAGAGUUCAUUUAUGAUCAAGCAUUUGUAGUUAUUUCAUCAAUGGCUUUUUGGUGAUUCAGUUCAUGGUUGUCUUGUUGGAUGUUUUAGUUUGAUAUGGAUGUCUUUGGGAUGUGAAUCUCUGAGGCAACAUUUUUGUUUUAUUGGGCCUGGACCUCCAUUCCAUUUACUUACUUUCAUUUGAUAUUUAAAAAUAAACUACAUUAAAUUUAACAAGAUUGUACUGUCUUUACUUCACUCUUUUUUUGUGACCUAAGUCCAAGGAAUUCAGAAUGGACAAAAUGUAAACCUACUUGUUUUUCAUGAAAUCUAAAUGCCCAAACACUGUCCUAAGUGUUGGUCACAUCAACUGUUGCAGAUGUCAAAUGAUGAUCUGAGGCUCGAAGUUUAAAUCUCUAACCAAAACACCUAUUACAUCAUGGCUCUUAUUUGUCAACCUUAGAUUUAAAGUUUCUUCACAUUUGCCAUGUUGGGAUUAAACUAAUCAAAGCUUCCUCUUGUGCUGUUGA